rnacentral:lncRNA from 1 species
UCCAAGCUGGAUAUAUAGUUCCAAUUACUCCAGCACUUCUCUAUAAAUGACAAACCACUUGCUCUCUCCGGGUCCUGUUGCUCCCCCACUGGAGAACUGUGAUUAAUGUCCCUUCCCUGUUUGAGAGUGGUGGUCCAAAGAUUAAUGAAGUCAGAAUCCCUUGGAGAUAACAUGACAAAAGAAGGGUCAGGAUGGUGGUGGAGUAAAAGAAGGGUCAGGAUGGUGGUGGAGUUGGAAACAGUAUUGUUUGAGGACCAGUUGAGAAAGCUGCAUGAUGGAGCAGCUUGAAGAGGCUACAAUUAGGACCAAUGGGUGGAACUUCAAGGGAGGCAAAUGCAAAUGUAAUCUCAAGGAAUGGUAGAACUUUUCAACAGAGUUGCCCCACUCUGGAGAGUUGGAAGUCCCCAUCUCAAAAGAUAAAAUAAAUGAAGCCCAGAGAGUUUGAGUGACGAGCUGGAGAUUCCUGCACAAUGAAAUGCCAGAAAUAAGCUUAG